UGCAUGCAAGACUGCAAGUUGCUUUGGUUAAAAGCGUCUGCUAAAUGGCUUAUA
rfam:Salmo salar isolate Sally breed double haploid chromosome ssa28, whole genome shotgun sequence.